rnacentral:tRNA from 1 species
CCCCGGUUGGCGAAAUGGCAGCCGCGUCGCCCUCAAAAGGCGAUGCCCCAAGCGGGCGUGCAUGUUCGAGUCAUGCACCGGGGA